rnacentral:lncRNA from 1 species
UUUGUUGGCCUCAAAUAGCUGCUUUAUUAGAUGUAAUGAAGCAGGGGACAUAGAAGCAAAAAGUAAAACAGCAGAAGAAGAAAUGAUCAAGAUUAGAUCCUGUGCUGAAAGAGAAACCAAGAAAAAAGAUGACAUUCCAGAAGAAUACAAAGGAAAUGUAAAACAAUGUGAAAUCAAUUAUGUAAAGAAAUUUCAGAGCUUCCAAGACCAAAAACUUAAAAUAAGUAAAGAAGAGAGUAAAAUUCUUAAAAAAGGCUCAGAAAGAUGGAUUUUUGCAUGAGACGCUUCUGGACAGAGAACCAAAUUGAAAGCCAACAGAUACUGCAAAUGACUGGAAUUUUUGUUUCUGCCUUAUCUUUUUGUGUUUUUUUUCUGAAUAAAAUAUUCAGAGGAAAUGCUUUUACAGAGUUCUUGAGUUGUUGUGAAAUUAUUAUUUAGCUAGUACCUAGUUUAACCAGGAUUAAACAAGUUUAAUCAGGAUUCUUCAUGGAUGUACUUUUUAGCUAACUACAGUUUUUCACAUGGAAAUGAAACUUACAG